AAUGAACGCUGGCGGCGCGCCUAAUACAUGCGAGUCGAGCGAGAAGACGUAGCAAUACGUUUGUAAAGCGGCGAACGGGUGAGGAAUACAUGGGUAACCUACCCUAGAGUGGGGAAUAACUAGCCGAAAGGUUAGCUAAUACCGCGUACGCUCCUUGGACUUCGGUUCAGGGAGGAAAGCGAUGCCGAGGGUAUCGCGCUCUUGGAUGGGCUCAUGUCCUAUCAGCUGUUGGUGAGGUAACGGCUCACCAAGGCUUCGACGGGUAGCUGGUCUGAGAGGACGAUCAGCCACACUGGCACUGCGACACGGGCCAGACUCCUACGGGAGGCAGCAGUAAGGAAUAUUGCGCAAUGGGCGAAAGCCUGACGCAGCGACGCCGCGGUGGGGGA
rnacentral:rRNA from 1 species